AUUGCACGCUGGCGGCAGGCCUAACUCAUGCAAGUCGAAUGAGUGGCGGACGGGUGAGCAACGUCUGGGAAACUGCCUGAUGGAGGGGGAUAACUAAUGGACACGGUAGCUAAUACCGCACAACAUGGGAUGUGACCAGAUGGGAUUAGCUAGUAGGUGGGGUAAAGGCUCUCCUAGGCGACGAUCCCUAGCUGGUCUGCGAGGAUGACCAGCCAGACUGGAACUGAGACAUGGUCCGGUCUCCGACGUGACGCACCAGUGGGCGACAUUGCACAUGGGGCGCAAGCCUUAUGCAGCGAUGCCGCGUGUAUGAAGAAGGCCUUCGGGUUGUAUAGUACUUUCAGCGGGGAGGCGUUACCCGCAGAAGAAGCACCGGCUAAAGCCGUACCAGCAGCCGCGGUAAUUC
rnacentral:rRNA from 1 species